rnacentral:rRNA from 1 species
AGUGAACGCUGGCGGUAGGCCUAACACACGCAAGUCGAACGGCAGCACAGUAAGAGCUUGCUCUUACGGGUGGCGAGUGGCGGACGGGUGAGGAAUACAUCGGAAUCUACUUUUUCGUGGGGGAUAACGUAGGGAAACUUACGCUAAUACCGCAUACGACCUACGGGUGAAAGCAGGGGAUCUUCGGACCUUGCGCGAUUGAAUGAGCCGAUGUCGGAUUAGCUAGUUGGCGGGGUAAAGGCCCACCAAGGUGACGAUCCGUAGCUGGUCUGAGAGGAUGAUCAGCCACACUGGAACUGAGACACGGUCCAGACUCCUACGGGAGGCAGCAGUGGGGAAUAUUGGACAAUGGGCGCAAGCCUGAUCCAGCCAUACCGCGUGGGUGAAGAAGGCCUUCGGGUUGUAAAGCCCUUUUGUUGGGAAAGAAAAGCAGCAGGUUAAUACCCCGCUGUUCUGACGGUACCCAAAGAAUAAGCACCGGCUAACUUCGUG